UGAUACUUCUGUAGAAAAAAGUUGUUGAAAAUGCUGUAACAUAAUUUUUUUGAAAAAACUUCAAAUAUCACUCCUAUGAUUUCGUACUUUUUUAUUUUAAUAUUUCGUGAUUUAAAUUGUAUCAAUUUAGUACCCUGUGAUUUUUUUUUAUUUUUUAUUUUUUAUUAUUCCUUAUACUAAUUUUUUUUGUUAAAUCAGUGACAAAAUUAAAACUAAAAGGCAUUAAAAUGAAUAUUCCAUAAACCAAUGUGAGGUAUCUAAAGUAUUUUUUUGUAUAUAAUUUAACGAAAUGUUAACGGAUGAGCUGACGAAAAGAAAAAAAUAAAAUUAUAAAAUACUAAAUUGAUACACUUUAAAUCAUAGAAUACUAAAAUGAGAAAGUAUGAACCUAAGAAGUAGUAUUUGAAGUUUACCAUUU
rnacentral:lncRNA from 1 species